AAAACAUCAUAGUCAUCCCACUGUUUUGUUUGUUUAGGUGUCUUGUUUUGUUUUCUCUGUGUAGUCCUGGCUUUCCUGGAACUCGACCUGUAGCUCAGGCUGGCCUCAGACUCAGAGAUCCACCUGUCUCUGCCUCCCAAGUGUGGGUAGUAAGUGUGUGUGCCACCUCCCAGGUCCCAUUGUCAUUUCUAACAGGACUUAUCCUUGAACUCAAGACACAUCCUGGGACUUCAGUUUCUCUCUGACGUCUACCAUCCCAUGAAAUAGGGACCUGCUGGUUGCCCAUGACUGAGCAAAGAGAUCCUCUGACAAGAUAAUUACCUGUGAUGGAGAAGGAGGUGCUAGAGAUGAGAGAUGGCCAGAGAUCUAUGAUAUGGGAAUUCUGAAGGCUAUGGUGAGGUCUAUACCAUCUUCCAGAGAAACACUCCUCAAAAGCCCUUGGUCAUCUCUGCAGCAUGUGGCACACUAAAGUAAGAGUAAAAGAGCACAUUUCAAGGG
rnacentral:lncRNA from 1 species